rnacentral:rRNA from 1 species
AGAGCGAACGCUGGCGGCAGGCUUAACACAUGCAAGUCGAGCGGGCGUAGCAAUACGUCAGCGGCAGACGGGUGAGUAACGCGUGGGAACAUACCUUUUGGUUCGGAACAACACAGGGAAACUUGUGCUAAUACCGGAUACGCCCUUACGGGGAAAGAUUUAUCGCCGAAAGAUUGGCCCGCGUCUGAUUAGCUAGUUGGUGAGGUAAUGGCUCACCAAGGCGACGAUCAGUAGCUGGUCUGAGAGGAUGAUCAGCCACAUUGGGACUGAGACACGGCCCAAACUCCUACGGGAGGCAGCAGUGGGGAAUAUUGGACAAUGGGCGCAAGCCUGAUCCAGCCAUGCCGCGUGAGUGAUGAAGGCCCUAGGGUUGUAAAGCUCUUUUGUGCGGGAAGAUAAUGACGGUACCGCAAGAAUAAGCCCGGCUAACUUCGCGCCAGCAGCCGC